UCAAUUGCCCUAGUUUCAUAUUUUGAAGUCUAAUAUCACUUUUGGUUCAAAAUUUCAGGACAAUAUCUCUUGAUAUACCAUCACCGCUUGAUUAAGCUUUAUCAAAUGUUUUAUCUUGAGUACUGCAGAUGGUUUUUUGUACUUGAUUGGUGACAGGAGAAGAGUAAUUGCCAUAAGUUUCAGAUGGGAUCAAGAGCAAUUUUCAUUUUUUUCUUUCCUGUCUUAUACUGUUGAAACCAAUAUAGGGUUGCAAGAUCCUCUGGUCAUGCACAAUAACCAUCAUCUUACAUUGGCCACAUAGUAGUUACACGACGUAUCUAAGACUAGACGAACAUGAUUUUAGAGACCUUUAGAAUUCAGGCUCCAAUUGCAAUUGAAACAUUUAAAGUCGUACCUGUAUGUCAUUCUUGGAGCUCACACCAACAACCCCCUUAGAUAAAAAUAAACCUGGGGCAGGAUUUGUCCUUCGUUGAAAGUCGUUAUGUCUUUUACAAAUAGGAAGGGGGCUUUUGGUGGAUUGUCAAGCAAUUUCAUUAUUUUAUUUUCGCUAAUUUCAUUAUCUUAUUUUCAUCUUGGGCAGGAAUCGAUCUUAGCCAGUUCGUUCCACCACCGAUUUCCUUUAGUUGGCCACUGCCCAGUUGAGAAUUUGAAACGUCCCUCUGCAUAGGCAACAAGACGCUCCUUCCAUUUCCGCAUUUUGCUAAAAGGAAACAAAUUCAAAAGAAUUGAGCUUUCCUUCCAUUCGUAAAAAGCAUGCUUUAUUAGUAUUAUAUAAGUUUUGUCAGAGAACAAGUACACACCUUGAAGGAACAGAAAAACACUAACCCAACCAACUGAGAAAUAGGCAAAACCCUUUGCCACGAAGAUCUGAAAAUAGAAACAAAACUUGUAAGCAUUCAAUAUUUUCAUACCAUAUAUCUACAAGAAAUAACUACACAAAAAAUAUCUACCGAGCCUACCUGAUUGUCUAGCAAGAUAACAGUGAUUAAAUCCACUUACAUUUUUGCCAAAAAAGGCUUCUGUACGAGUCUUGUCAAUAAAAGUUGCCAACUUGGCAAAGAGCGCAGGAGAGUUUGUUGCAAUUAUUCUUUUGGGUGAUGCCCACUUAAUGCAGCCUAAACAUGGCUGACACAAGUGUAACAAAAUAUCCCUUCAUCUAUUUUACUUCUUGGUUUACACUUCUCUCUUGUUUACUCUUAGUUUGUUUGUUAAUUUCUUUUUCUUGUUUUCUUCUUUUUUCUUAUUUAACAAUUUUAUUUCUUUUUUAUAUCUUUCUGACUAGAGUAUUUGUAUGUUUUGCCACUUUAUAAAGUGCAGAUCAAUUGUUCGCGGCAUAUUAUGAUAGUUUUUUCAACUUCUGGCAGCAAUUCCACCAAUGAAUUUUUGUAUAUGAAAUGGAUUUCUAAGAAGAGAAAUAAUGAAUGUAAUGUAUAUUAUUGUAAUGUUGAUAUUAUGGAUGAUAACUAACAACGAUAAGAGUGGUACAAUGAAGUGCAUGCAAAUUUAAUCAGCUUAUGGCAUUUGGAGGAAAUCUAACGGUUCUUUUUUAUUUUAAUCUUUUUUUAUACUUCAUACUCCAUCAUUAGCUACAAGAAGGAUGAUAAAUUAAUAGACAAUCUUCUUGACUGUGUGCAUGUUUGUAUUGGCCUUGCACUUGCUACAGUCUCUCUGGAAAAGGGAACAGGGUUUUGUUUAGGCCGAGAAUGCAUUCGAUCUCUAAUCGCAUCAAUUUUUGACCGAUAUUUGAAGCGCCUUGCAAGCUUCAUCGAAUCGGUGAGGGAAGAUGUUUGAGAAGAUGUCACCAGCUGUGGCUCGGGUUGCCUUUCCUCAGCAACAGGUGGGUUGAUGGCUGGGACGGUCACAGUGCUUGUUCCUUUCUGAAAAGAAAGGUCAUAAGAAACUUGGGUCAUAAGCCUGAACAUAGCUGACACAAGUUUCGCAAAAUAUCCUUUUUUCUUGUGUUAUCCUUUUCUCUUGUUUACUCUUUAGGUCUUUUUAUUUUCUUUUCCUUGUUUUGUUCUUUUUUCUUAUUUAACAAUUUUUUUUCUUUUUUAUAUCUUUCUGACUAGAGCAUUUGUAUGUUUUGCCACUUUAUAAAGUGCAGAUCAAUUGUUCCCGGCAUAUUAUGAUAGUUUUUUCAACUUCUGGCAGCAAGUCCACCAAUGAUCUUUUGAGUAUGUAAUGGAUUAUUAAGAAGAGAGCCGAUAAAUGUAACAUAAUAUAUUGUUAUAAUGAUAUUGUGGAUGAUGACUUAAAGUGAUAAGAGUGGUAGAAGGAUAUGCAUAUACAAUCAGGUUAUGCAUUUGGAGGAAAUCUAAUGGUUCUUUUUAUUUCAAUGCAUCAAUCUCCAUCAUUAGUUGCAAGAGUGGUGAUAAAUUAAUGGUAUACGGUAUAAUUUUUUCAUUGAAUCGGAAAAAAGAAACAGGACGUUUUUGUUCUUUCAGGAGUUUAUGCCUAGGGUUAUCUUUGUAUCCCUACAAUAGUUUUUAAUCUAACUUUCAAAUUGCAACAGGCUGCUCAUUUCUUGUCUUAUCUUUGGGACACAUUUCACACCUUAGCAUCUUCAUAGGCCAUUUCUUGUGAUCUCAAGAUCAGUUCUUGAUAUUUGCAGGUCAUUAAUUGCCCUAGUUUCAUAUUUUGAAGUCUAAUAUCACUUUUGGUUCAGGAUUUCAGGACAUUUUCUUUUUAUAUACCAUGACCGCUCGAUUAAACUUUAUCAAAUGUUUUUGUUUUAAAUACUGCAGAUGGUUUUUUGUACCUGAUUGGCGACAUGAUAAAAGUAAUUGCCCCAGAUUUCCUGAGGGGAUCAAGACCAUCCUUAAAUUUUUCCUUUUCUAUCUUGUACUGUUGAUCCCAAUAUAGGGUUGCAAGAUCCUCUGGUCAUGCACAAUAACCAUAAUCUUACAUUGGCCACAUAGUAGUUACACGACGUAUCUAAGACUAGACGAACAUGAUUUUAGAGACCUUUAAGAGAAUUCAGGCGCCAAUUGCAAUUGACACAUUUAAAGUCGUACCUGUUUUUCAUCCUUGGAGCUCACACCAACAACCCCCUUAGAUAAAAAAAACCUGGGGCAGGAUUUGUCCUUCGCUGAAAGUCGUUAUGUCUUUUACAAAUAGUAAGGGGGCUUUUUGGUGGAUUGUCAAGCAAUUUCAUUAUCUUAUUUUCGUUAAUUUCAUUAUCUUAUUUUUAUCUUGGGCAGGAAUCGAUCUUAGCCAGUUCGUUCCACCACCGAUUUCCUUUAGUUGGCCGCUGCCCAGUUGAGAAUUUGAAACGUCCCUCUGCAUAGGCAACAAGACGCUCCUUCCAUUUCCGCAUUUUGCUAAACGGAAACAAAUUCAAAAGAAUUGAGCUUUCCUUCCAUUCGAAAAAAGCAUGCUUUAUUAGUAUUAUAUAAGUUUUAUCAGAGAACAAGUACACACCUUGAAGGAACAGAAAAAAACUAACCCAACCAACUGAGAAAUAGGCAAAACCCCUUGCCACGAAGAUCUGAAAAUAGAAACAAAACUUGUAAGCAUUCAAUAGUUUCAUACCAUAUAUCUACAAGAAAUAACUACACAAAAAAUAUCUACCGAGCCUACCUGAUUGUCUAGCAAGAUAACAGUGAUGAAAUUCACUUACAUUUUUGCCAAAAAAGGCUGCUUUACAAGACUUGUCAACUUUUGUUGACAAGACACCUGAAAAGAUGGUAUGUUCAAGGCUGAAAAAAACAUAAAAAACAUUGAUAAAUACAAAAUGAAGACGAAUAGGAAGAGGGCUUCUUAGUGGACUGUCUAGCAAGAUAACAGUGAUGAAAUUCACUUACAUUUUUGCCAAAAAAGGCUGCUUUACAAGACAUUUCAACUUUUGUUGACAAGACACCUGAAAAGAUGGUAUGUUCAAGGCUGAAAAAAACAUAAAAAACAUUGAUAAAUACAGAAUGAAGACGAAUAGGAAGAGGGCUUUUUAGUGGAUUGUCUAGCAAGAUAACAGUGAUAAAAUUCACUUACAUUUUUGCCAAAAAAGGCUGCUUUACGAAUCUUGUCAACAAAAGUUGACAAGACACCCCGAACGAUGAUUUUUUCAAGGCUGAGAAAGAAAUAAACUCAUUUUUGCCAAAAUAGGCUUCUUUACGAAUCUUGUCAAUAAAAGUUGCCAACUUGGCAAAGAGCGCAGGAGAGUUUGUUGCAAUUAUUCUUUUGGGUGAUGCCCACUUAAUGCAGCCUAAACAUGGCUGACACAAGUGUAACAAAAUAUCCCUUCAUCUAUUUUACAUCUUGGUUUACACUUCUCUCUUGUUUACUCUUAGUUUGUUUGUUAAUUUCUUUUUCUUGUUUUCUUCUUUUUUCUUAUUUAACAAUUUUCUCUCUUUUUAUAUCUUUCUGACUAGAGUAUUUGUAUGUUUUGCCACUUUAUAAAGUGCAGAUCAAUUGUUCGCGGCAUAUUAUGAUAGUUUUUUCAACUUCUGGCAGGAAUUCCACCAAUGAAUUUUUGUAUAUGAAAUGGAUUUCUAAGAAAAGAAAUAAUGAAUGUAAUGUAUAUUAUUGUAAUGUAUAUUAUUGUAAUGUUGAUAUUAUGGAUGAUAACUAACAACGAUAAGAGUGGUACAAUGAAGUGCAUACAGAUUUAAUCAGGUUAUGGCAUUUGAAGGAAAUCUAACGGUUCUUUUUUAUUUUAAUCUUUUUUUAUACUUCAUACUCCAUCAUUAGCUACAAGAAUGGUGAUAAAUUAAUAGACGGACAUCUAUUUGACGAAAAUCUUCUUGACUGUGUUCAUGUUUGUAUUGGCUUUGUACUUGCUACAGUCUCUCUGGAAAAGGGAACAGGGUUUUGUUUAGGCCAAGAAUGCAUUCGAUCUCUAAUUGCGUCAAUUGUUGACCGAUAUUUGAAGCGCCUUGCGAGCUUCAUCGAAUCGUCGAGGGAAGAUGUUUGGGAGGAUGUCACCAGCUGUGGCUCGGGUUGCCUUUCCUCAGCAACAGGUGGGUUGAUGGCUGGGACGGUCACAGUGCUUGUUCCUUUCUGAAAAGAAAGAUCAUAAGAAACUUGGGUCAUGAGCCUGAACAUGGCUGACACAAGUGUCGCAAAAUAUCCUUUUUUCUUGUGUUAUCCUUUUCUCUUGUUUACUCUUAGUUAUUUUGUUAAUUUCUUCUCCUUGUUUUGUUCUUUUUUCUUAUUUAACAAUUUUCUCUCUUUUUAUAUCUUUCUGACUAGAGUAUUUGUAUGUUUUGCCACUUUAUAAAGUGCAGAUCAAUUGUUCGCGGCAUGUUAUGAUAGUUCUGUAACUUCUGGCAGCAAGUCCACCAAUGAUUUUUUGAGUAUGUAAUGGAUUAUUAAGAAGAGAGCCGAUAAAUGUAACAUAAUAUAUUGUUAUAAUGAUAUUGUGGAUGAUGACUUAAAGUGAUAAGAGUAGUAGAAUGACAUGCAUAUACAAUCAGGUUAUGGCAUUUGGAGGAAAUCUAACGGCUCUUUUUUAUUUCAAUGCAUCAAUCUCCAUCUUUAGCAACAAGAAUGGUGAUAAAUUAAUGGUACACAGUAUAAUUUUUCAUUUAAUUGGAAAAAUAAGCAUGAUAUUUUUGUUCUUUCAGGAGUUAAUGCCUAGGGUUAUCUUUGUAUCCCCCAAAAUAAUAUUUAACCUAAUUUUCAAAUUGCAGCAGUCUUCUCAUUUGGCCAAAGGCCGCCAUUGCAGCUCUUCGAGAGAAAUAUCGAAAAGACGGAGUUAUAUUCGAGAUAAAAACUCUACAUGAUAUACAAGAUUGCUUGUUUACACGGUAGAACUUGUUCUGAAUUCAUGAACCGACAUUGACGAAAAUACGUACCACGAAGCAGGGCCAAUGCCAUGGAUCUCGAGUAGAUUUGCCACUUGAAAUUCGGAACAAAUUUGAGCUUCGGAGCCAAUCAGAUUGCAGAAUUUUGGAACAAGCUAGAAACUCAAUUUGUUUUCAUAGAAUUUACUUACGUGUUUUUUUACCAAAAAAUGCUGCUAGAAGAAUCAGUAUGGUAUGUUAUUCCCAGAAGCUGAAAAACAUUAAAAAAACUUAUAGAUACGAAAUGAUGACAAAUAGGUAGGGGGCUUUUUAGUGGAUUGUUAAGCAGGAUUAAGCAUUGGUUAAAGGGAGGUCAUCUGCAGAGCUCAGGAUGAAGACUGGAGAGCUGGAGACUCGCGGCUGUGUAGACACAGGAAUGGCUGAUUGGGGCACAACUGCUGCUGCUAUUUGAGUGACAGUGGUCGCCAACGAUUUCGAUGCUUGUGAGCUAGAUUUAUUAGCUGUUCUGCGAAUUUUGGCCUCCCCUGCUCUGCUCUGUUUGUCGGAUCAGAAUACGUCACUGGUUCAGCAUGAGUUAGCUGUCGCUUCGUUGGUCUAGGCACCGGUAGAGGAGUUGUUGCAAUUGCUACACACUACCGAGCAAAGCUCUCCCUUGCAGAAGCAUUUUAACCUCUUCGCACCGAGUCUUUUUUUUGAACCAACGACUUAUCUGGGCCUCAUUCAGAUUGUACAGAAAAUGCCACUCGGAAGCUGUUUGCUGCUUGCAAAAUCUGCAGGAGUACGUCUUCCGGUCCUUUAUUCAUUGGCAACGUCCGGUACAGCAUCAGCAACAUUGUUUGCAGUUUGGCUGUAGGACCACCCGAAACUAAUGCUUUUCGUAUAAGCACUUUUGCCAGUUCAUUCAACUAACUUCACUCACGUACAGAAGUUGCAUCACCUUUAAUGUAUCCCCGCGUGUCUCUUUUCCCCGACACGCUAGAUUUUAAAACUUUUCGUGCUUUUUCGCGGCCUUCUACAACAUCACGUUAACCACGUGACAUUCUGUGCUUUUUUAAACUCGCUUACUUGUCUGAUCAGUCCAGAUUUUACUUGCUUCGUACAAGAUUGGUGAGUCAAUUUUCAAUAAUUGUAUUCAUUUGUAAUUUUCCCUUCUUGCACAGAUUCAGUUAGUAUAUCUAAUGUAUGUAUCGCGUAAACUAUUAGCGGAAUCAUUGAUUCUAUCAAAAAUUGAUUACAACGACUAUGUUUAUUCACCUUUGAGCCAACAGCAGUUGAAAAAACUGCAGCGACUACAGAAGGCUGUGGCAAGCUUCGUACUUAAAAGUUAUGCCCAUAAAAAAGAUAUCUUGAAACUUGGUUGGCUACCAAUUGCAGAAAGACGGGAAUUCAACCUAUUAAAACUGACUUUCAAGGCAAUUCACAACACUAACUGGCCUACAAUUAAUAAACUCGAGCUGCAAACUUGUAACAAAGUACUGCGAAGUAGUAACGAAACUCGUAUAAGGCCAUCACUAAUAGCAGAUACUUUUGAAGAUGCCAUUGCAAAGUGCUUUAAUGCCUUACCUGGACCUAUAAAAUCUAAGUCUAGCUUUACGAUAUUUUGUUCCAACUUAAAGAAGCAUUUAUUUGAAAAAGCGAGCAACAAAUUGGACUAAAAAACAUUAUUUCUUCUUUUUUUUAUAAAUAUGUAACUGUUGUUAACUUUUGAACCUGUAAUUUGACUUUGCUUUUAAUUUUAGAGUUGAAGAGCCACACUUGUAGUGGAUAUGCCCGAUUGUACCAUUAUUAUUAUUAUUAUUAUUAUUAUUAUUAUUAUUAUUAUUAUUAUAUUAUAUUUUUAUUAUUAUUAUUAUUAUUAUUAUUAUAUUAUAUUUUUAUUAUCAUUAUUAUUAUUAUUAUUAUUAUGGCUAAUUAAGUGAUUCACAGACACCUAGAUGUUAAUUGGUCCGGAUAAUAUAGGAGGGAGCAGUCAGCAACAAGCUGACAAAGGUCCCAUUCUGUCAUCUCAAGUUUAUAUAGACAAUGUCUGUCUCAAAAUCCUGGCUGUUCCUAGCACUUUACAUCCAUUACCUGUAACUUUACAUCAAUUCCGAUCUUUUCCAUGUGCUCUUCAAAACAAUAUGAUACACACCCUAAUGCCCCAAUCACAACAAUUAUUAUUAUUAUUAUUAUUAUUAUUAUUGUUAUUAUUAUUAUUAUUAUUAUUAUUAUUAUGUCUAGCUUGAGGUUAGCAGCAAUCUAUUUCUCUUUUAAAAGCACUUUAUUUAUUUUUUAUUUGCAAUAUACAAUUUUCUUUUAACGUUAAACUCCCCAUGUAUCCUCAGAUAGGUCCAUAGCCAUUAGAGUUGACGGCUGCCUCUCCAAACUCAGUUAAUGCGGCUGUUCCACAGGGUUCUGUCAUAUAGCCUGUUUUAUUUUCCCUUUACAUCAAUGAUCCACUAACUUCCACCGCUACAAGUAUAAAUUCUUUUGCCGAUGACACUUUCAUUGCUCUGUCCACAUAACCACAUAACUUUGCUACCAACGCCCCUCUUUAAAGAAAUAUUUCAGUCUCGUUUCUCACAGAUGACUUGGCAGUCAUUUAGAGGCGUGGUAAAGACAAUCUCGUUACAUUUUAUCAGACUAAAGCCAUGCAGGCUGUCAUUUCAUUCAAACGCAACCCUGACUUUCCCACUGUUUCAAUGAAUGGUGCUGAUUUUGACAUUUCUACUUUUUUCACGACUAGACCUUUCAGUGUCAUCCAGCCCUAAGUGAAAAUCUCACAUUUAUUCUGUUGCUUAACAUCUAGUCUCAUCAUCACACAUUUUGACAGUUUAUAAAUCCUAAACGCCAGCCUUCCUUGGAGUACUGUUCUCAUGUUUGGGGUCGUGCUUAUAAAUCUUCCCUGUGCCUACUUGACAAAAUCCAAUCGAAAGCAAUUUGCCUCAUCGUUAACUGCAACCUCACAAGGUCUCUUCAACGUCUCUUAAUGGCGCAGUGUCGCCAAUCUCUCAAUUAUAUUCAAAAUACCUUACUAUGAAUGAAAAUAAUGUUGACGCUUAAGUAGUCCAGUCAGAGAAAGGAAGCCUAGGUCUGCAUCGUAUGGGGAAGCAAACGGUUGCGACUCAGAGUUGAGAAAAUUAUCGAACAAUUCAAAAAGAUAAAUUGUUUUUAUCUCCCCCAUUGACCAUGGCUAACAACCUUGUAUAAAUUAGCACAAUCCAUCGCUUUGGGUAGUCUCACAAAACACAUGGCAGAUCAUAUUACUUUGAAAAUGCAUUUGAAAGACACAAUUUGGCAUUAAUGAUAUAAAGCCUGCAGAGGUUUUAUAUUGCUCUGGUAUUUCAAGUGGAACACUGGCACUGUGUCACCGUUUCAUGCAGUCAAAAAUUCACUGUUGCCUGCAACCAAUGCUUUCUCUGAUACUGUCUCUGAUAUUUUUGUUUCGUUUUUUUGCAGCAGAAGCAUUUUCAGAUGGUUUAAUCGAGACAAUGAUAGAUUUUUUGAAGCAUCAGUGCCUCAAAGCUGAUGCUGAUGCUGAUGCUGGUAGGAACAUACCACUAACCAAUGAUAUCAGUUCUUAUCCAAGCAGGUUAUUCAGUGGUUUUACCAUCCCUGAAAACCAAGCACAAGUUCCUAUUUCUGCCAACAGGCUUAAACCUAUUUUGCCUAUAACCGUAAGGUCACCCAUAAUUUUCGAAGCUCAUUGGAGGCCUUUUUAACUCCCCUGAUUAACAUUCGUAGCAUAAGGCCAAUAGAAAAUAAUCCCAUUUGAGUUACCCCUAGUCGGCCAACAGUAUAUCUACUUUAGAGAAGCUUACAGACUUAUUAUGAAUGAAUUUCAUUAUGAAUAAAAAAAUCUCCAAGGGACCAUGUUAGAAACAUGCUCAAGAGGACGUAUGAUUAUGUUAAUCAGGAACAAAGUUCUGACCGCCAUUUUUCAAAUAUAAGUGGUAAUUUACUUAACAAUACCUUGCUCAAGAGGUUAAGCAAAGCUCUUUUUGCUAGUUUUUUUGGACUGAUAUGAGAUGUAAGAAAAUUCCUGCAUAGUUUACCAACUGUAGAACAAAUUUAUAUUUAUAUCUAGAUUUCGGCACUAUUUGUAAUAUAUACCGUAAAGUAUUAUUUUGUUAAUUGCACUGUAUUUUUCGAAAAAUGAUCUACUGUCAUCAUUCAAACCUUAGCAAUAAGCCAAUUUUCCAAACAUGUAGUCAUCAUUUUAACUGAAUAUGGUGCAAUGCGUUUGGGAUUUAUGUACGAAUGAGUUGUAUGUAGAGUAGAGAUGAGGUUUAUUAAUGUGUUCACAUUGAGGAAGAAAGAAGAGAAAGUUCAAGGAGAGCUUCACGACUUGGGAAGACCUUUCAUCUGUGACAGGUUGGAUGAAGAACACAGAACGCUCUGUUGAACUGCAUGCAACCAUGAAGUCCCUUCUGUGAAGACUUGCAUUGCUGACGUAAUCGUCUCUUGGUUGAGAGAUUGCCAAUGUCAUUACACCUCGUGGAUCACUCUGCACUGUUGUCGUUGUUGUUGUCCAUCCAUAUGACUGUAAUGAAGACAGCAGGAACCAUUUUUGACCUGUCAAGAUUCUUUCACCAUGUCUGAAGUUUCAUUUCCACCGUUUCAUUAGACCUCAGUUCCAUUGGUUAAAGUCAUUGUGCCAAGAAAAUGCCUUGUCUCGGGAAGGCCGUCUCUUAAAUUGAAAGAAUCUCAGUAGCAAAAUUGUUCAUAAUUGGCUGCGAACACAGAAGUCAAUAUUCUGAGGGGUUCUGUUGGUUUUUAUAUUUACUUGGUUAUGAAGAUAUCAUUGCAAGAGCAGCCGACUUUAGAUCCAAAUAAUCCAGAGAUUAGACGGGACUCUGUUCUUCAAGCAAGGGUACGAAGUGUUUUGCUUCAAAACAAAUCUCCCUUUUGAACACGGAUAGCCAAUGUUUUUGAUCAAGUAUUUCUGUCUCUGCUGAACAUCUUGGUGGUAGCUUGUCAGAAAACUGGACCAGUGAACAUAAGACGGCCCAACAGCACAACCAAGAGGUUUUUGGCCUGGUUGGUUUUCAAAUUACUCUGAAUGCCAGAAGGUUAAGAAACUGCAAAGUUAGUUUAUUUAUCUGGUUCAAAAGACUUGAUUUUGUUACGGCUGCAGACUCUGUUAUUUUGAGAACAUUGCUUCAAAGGUUUGUUACGCUCUUCAUCGAAAAUAUCGCAGAAUCCUGGAUAUGUUUUUAUCCCCGUUUAUUCCUGUGUGUGCAUGCGUUAUCCAGAGCCGUUGCUGUGACUGUAAACCGCAGGCUGAAGGGCAGUUUGUCGCAUUCAAGGAAGAACUCGGUUCUAAUAUCAUUGACAAAACUCGGUCCAUCAGGCUUCUCAUUUUCCGAUAGUGUUAUGUUUGUAUUUUUCGUAAAUACUGAAUUUUGUAAUUAGCUUAUAUUUUUGCAAUUACGAUAAUAUUAAAGACAGGAAUUAAAGUAUCCUACAAUCCUGGUCAGAUGGUGACGAGAUUUUACGCCUACCAACCCCCCUCCUACCCCGCAUAGUUCCGUGAUGAUAUCUUUGCUAAUUUAUUGCAUACCCAUCAACCUCUAAUAGGGAAAAAGGCGGCUGCUGGAUGCACGAUUCCAUAUGCAUGCUGCCUGGAAUAUUUAGGCGUUUGUCUCGACAACUGUGGCCAUGCCUGUAGGUGAAUUUUGAUAUCAACAGUAUAAAACUUAUUUACUUGGCAUCUUCUGUUGAAAUAGGUUCGCCGUUAGAAAUUCUUUUAGCGUCAUGCGGUCGUGAGACAGUAAACCCAGGCCUUCAGAAGGUUGUAUUUAGGGACUUAAUUGAAUUUUCGUUUAGCAAAUUUCUCUAACGUAAUAUAUGUAUUCUCGUCAAAUUUCAUUUUAGAUUAUGAUUCUAUAUUUGUAAUGUCUGACGUUCGAUGCUAGAAAGUUGCUAGUGAUCUCUAAUUUAAACUUAGAAAGCAGAAGCCAAAACCCAGCCAGACUCUCUUUUUCUCUAAACAUUUUUUUCUAUUUAGUCGACAAUCAUUUAAAAAAUAUCUAGCUUCACCUUGAUCUUUCAACAAGUGAGAAAGACAUGAAAAAGGCGAUUGGGGUUUUGAACGGCUUCUCGUUGUCUAUGUUUGUAUUAGCUAUAGUUUAUUACCAAUACCUAGAAAUUUUUGCAUUCUGCGCUAAAUAUUUAGAAAUACUAUUUUUCUUCGUAUUAUUAAAUUGUAUUAUAAAUGGA